AGUGAACGCUGGCGGUAGGCCUAACACAUGCAAGUCGAACGGCAGCACAGUAAGAGCUUGCUCUUACGGGUGGCGAGUGGCGGACGGGUGAGGAAUACAUCGGAAUCUACUUUUUCGUGGGGGAUAACGUAGGGAAACUUACGCUAAUACCGCAUACGACCUACGGGUGAAAGCAGGGGAUCUUCGGACCUUGCGCGAUUGUAUGAGCCGAUGUCGGAUUAGCUAGUUGGCGGGGUAAAGGCCCACCAAGGCGACGAUCCGUAGCUGGUCUGAGAGGAUGAUCAGCCACACUGGAACUGAGACACGGUCCAGACUCCUACGGGAGGCAGCAGUGGGGAAUAUUGGACAAUGGGCGCAAGCCUGAUCCAGCCAUACCGCGUGGGUGAAGAAGGCCUUCGGGUUGUAAAGCCCUUUUGUUGGGAAAGAAAAGCAGCAGGUUAAUACCCCGCUGUUCUGACGGUACCAAAAGAAUAAGCACCGGCUAACUUCGUG
rnacentral:rRNA from 1 species